AACAUCGCGCACCUGCGGGAACCUGCGGAAGGAUCAUUACAGAGUUGCAAAACUCCCUAAACCAUUGUGAACGUUACCUAAACCGUUGCUUCGGCGGGCGGCCCGGGUCCUUCCCGGCGCCCAUCGGCCCUCGCGGGCGCCCGCCGGAGGUAAACCAAACUAUUGCAUUGUAUGGCCUCUCUGAGUCUUCUGUACUGAAUAAGUCAGAACUUUCAGCAAUGGAUCUCAGAUCGGAAGAGC
rnacentral:misc_RNA from 1 species